GUGUAUAGGCUUGUUUUUUUUUGUUUUAUGUUUUUUUUAACUAUUUGCAUUAUGGCCGUCAGAAUAAAAAUCCAUUAAUUAGUCGCUGGGUUUAAAACGUAAGAAAAAUAGCAGCUUUUAUUCCAGAGUGGAUGGUAUUGUGUGCACAUAACUCUGAUGCCAAGAGAGAUUACUGCAUGAUGCAAGUCGCUUCACAAGACUGUUUUUGUUGGUUCUAUGGUUAUCACCACGUUAGUAUUUAUUUAUUUUUUCCAUCCAAAAAAUCCAGAAAUUAUUACCAUUAUUAUAUUAUUUUUGUAGAUUUUGAACUUGAAUGGGGUUUGUUUGUUUUUCCUCUCACCACAUUUGUGGGCCGGCAGCGUUUCAUCAUGCUGCUGACCGAGCAUCUCGUCCGCUGCGAGACGGGCAGCGUCAACGUCAGCACGCCGUGGUACAAGAACUGUGUGGAGAGACUGCAGCAGAUCUUCCUCAUGCACCACGGCACCAUCCAGCAGUACAUGGGAACACUGGAGAACCUGUUGUUCACGGCCGAGCUGGACCACCACAUCCUGGCCGUCUACCAGCAGUUUUGCGCCCUUCAGCUGUAAAACAACAACAAAAAAACCCGAAACAUUUUGUCGUCCAACGUUGGCUCUUGCAUCAAGAAUGUCCUCCUGACAAAAAACAGUAUUUUCAUCCUGUGUUGUGGAAGGUGUCAUGUUGGACGUGUAAGUAUCCAGAAUGCAACAGCGGUCAGCUUAUCAACGUCUUUUGAUUCUUUCAUUUUUCUUUGCGUUUAAUCCUUUUUUUUUUUUUACGUGGUCACUCUCCUUUUAUUAGUUUUAUGUGGAAUUGGAAAGGAAAUAAAUCUCCCAAAUUCUUUUAACUUUCAUCUGCGUGCGUGUUGGAAGAAAUGACACCUUGAGCCAUGAAUGUUAGAACAAUAAACACACACACCUGCAA